GAUGAACGCUGGCGGCGUGCCUAAUACAUGCAAGUCGAGCGAACAGACGAGGAGCUUGCUCCUCUGACGUUAGCGGCGGACGGGUGAGUAACACGUGGAUAACCUACCUAUAAGACUGGGAUAACUUCGGGAAACCGGAGCUAAUACCGGAUAAUAUAUUGAACCGCAUGGUUCAAUAGUGAAAGACGGUUUUGCUGUCACUUAUAGAUGGAUCCGCGCCGCAUUAGCUAGUUGGUAAGGUAACGGCUUACCAAGGCAACGAUGCGUAGCCGACCUGAGAGGGUGAUCGGGCACACUGGAACUGGGACACGGUCCAGACCCCUACGGGAGGCCGCAGUAGGGAAACCUCCGCAAUGGGCGAAAGCCUGACGGGGCAACGCCGCGUGAGUGAUGAAGGUCUUCGGAUCGUAAAACUCUGUUAUUAGGGAAGAACAAAUGUGUAAGUAACUAUGCACGUCUUGACGGUACCUAAUCAGAAAGCCACGGCUAACUACGUG
rnacentral:rRNA from 1 species